UACGUAGGGGGCAAGCGUUGUCCGGAAUCAUUGGGCGUAAAGAGCGUGUAGGCGGCCCGAUAAGUCCGCCGUGAAAGUCCAGGGCUCAACCCCUGGAAUGCCGGUGGAAACUGUCGGGCUGGAGUCCGGAAGAGGCGAGUGGAAUUCCUGGUGUAGCGGUGAAAUGCGCAGAUAUCAGGAGGAACACCGGUGGCGAAGGCGGGUCUCUGGGCCGAUACUGACGCUGGAGGGAGC
rnacentral:rRNA from 1 species